GACGUAGGAUGCAAGCGUUGUCCGGAAUUAUUGGGCGUAAAGAGCUCGUAGGCGGUUUGUCGCGUCUGCUGUGAAAAUCCAGGGCUUAACCCUGGACCUGCAGUGGGUACGGGCAGACUGGAGUGCGGUAGGGGAGAUCGGAAUUCCUGGUGUAGCGGUGAAAUGCGCAGAUAUCAGGAGGAACACCGGUGGCGAAGGCGGAUCUCUGGGCCGUAACUGACGCUGAGGAGCGAAAGCAUGGGGAGCGAACAGG
rnacentral:rRNA from 1 species